CAGUCGCCGCGGUAAUACGAAGGGUGCAAGCGUUACUCGGAAUUACUGGGCGUAAAGCGUGCGUAGGUGGUGGUUUAAGUCCGUUGUGAAAGCCCUGGGCUCAACCUGGGAAUUGCAGUGGAUACUGGGUCACUAGAGUGUGGUAGAGGAUAGUGGAAUUUCCGGUGUAGCAGUGAAAUGCGUAGAGAUCGGAAGGAACAUCUGUGGCGAAGGCGACUAUCUGGGCCAACACUGACACUGAGGCACGAAAGCGUGGGGAGCAAACAGGAUUAGAUACCCGAGUAGUCCCUGUCUCUUAUAC
rnacentral:rRNA from 1 species